rnacentral:rRNA from 1 species
GAUGAACGCUGGCGGCGUGCCUAAUACAUGCAAGUAGAACGCUGAAGGAGGAGCUUGCUCUUCUGGCUGAGUUGCGAACGGGUGAGUAACGCGUAGGUAACCUGCUUGGUAGCGGGGGAUAACUCUUGGAAACGAUAGCUAAUACCGCAUGACAACAGUUAUUGCAUGAUAACUGUCUAAAAGGGGCAACUGCUCCACUACUAGCUGGACUUGCGUUGUAUUAGCUAGUUGGUGAGGUAACGGCUCACCAAGGCGACGAUACAUAGCCGACCUGAGAGGGUGAUCGGCCACACUGGGACUGAGACACGGCCCAGACUCCUACGGGAGGCAGCAGUAGGGAAUCUUCGGCAAUGGACGGAAGUCUGACCGAGCAACGCCGCGUGAGUGAAGAAGGUUUUCGGAUCGUAAAGCUCUGUUGUAAGAGAAGAACGAGGGUGAGAGUGGAAAGUUCACACUGUGACGGUAUCUUACCAGAAAGGGACGGCUAACUACGUG